AUUGAACGCUGGCGGCAUGCCUUACACAUGCAAGUCGAACGGUAACAGGUCUUCGGAUGCUGACGAGUGGCGAACGGGUGAGUGAUACAUCGGAACGUGCCUAGUAGUGGGGGAUAACUACUCGAAAGAGUGGCUAAUACCGCAUGAGAUCUACGGAUGAAAGCAGGGGAUCGCAAGACCUUGUGCUACUAGAGCGGCCGAUGGCAGAUUAGGUAGUUGGUGGGAUAAAAGCUUACCAAGCCGACGAUCUGUAGCUGGUCUGAGAGGACGAUCAGCCACACUGGGACUGAGACACGGCCCAGACUCCUACGGGAGGCAGCAGUGGGGAAUUUUGGACAAUGGGCGAAAGCCUGAUCCAGCAAUGCCGCGUGCAGGAUGAAGGCCUUCGGGUUGUAAACUGCUUUUGUACGGAACGAAAAGCCCUGGGUUAAUACCCUGGGGUCAUGACGGUACCGUAAGAAUAAGCACCGGCUAACUACGUGCCAGCCGCCGCAGUAAUAC
rnacentral:rRNA from 1 species